CCUACGGGAGGCAGCAGUGAGGAAUAUUGGUCAAUGGACGCGAGUCUGAACCAGCCAAGUAGCGUGAAGGAUGACUGCCCUACGGGUUGUAAACUUCUUUUAUAAAGGAAUAAAGUGAGGCACGUGUGCCUUUUUGUAUGUACUUUAUGAAUAAGGAUCGGCUAACUCCGUGCCAGCAGCCGCGGUAAUACGGAGGAUCCGAGCGUUAUCCGGAUUUAUUGGGUUUAAAGGGAGCGUAGAUGGGUUGUUAAGUCAGUUGUGAAAGUUUGCGGCUCAACCGUAAAAUUGCAGUUGAUACUGGCAGCCUUGAGUACAGUUGAGGUAGGCGGAAUUCGUGGUGUAGCGGUGAAAUGCUUAGAUAUCACGAAGAACUCCGAUUGCGAAGGCAGCCUACUAGACUGCCACUGACACUGAGGCUCGAAAGUGUGGGUAUCAAACAGGAUUAGAUACCCGAGUAGUC
rnacentral:rRNA from 1 species